rnacentral:rRNA from 1 species
GAGGAAUAUUGGUCAAUGGACGAGAGUCUGAACCAGCCAAGUAGCGUGAAGGAUGACUGCCCUAUGGGUUGUAAACUUCUUUUAUACGGGAAUAAAGUUAGCCACGUGUGGCUUUUUGUAUGUACCGUAUGAAUAAGGAUCGGCUAACUCCGUGCCAGCAGCCGCGGUAAUACGGAGGAUCCGAGCGUUAUCCGGAUUUAUUGGGUUUAAAGGGAGCGUAGGCGGGUUGUUAAGUCAGUUGUGAAAGUUUGCGGCUCAACCGUAAAAUUGCAGUUGAUACUGGCGACCUUGAGUGCAACAGAGGUAGGCGGAAUUCGUGGUGUAGCGGUGAAAUGCUUAGAUAUCACGAAGAACUCCGAUUGCGAAGGCAGCUUACUGGAUUGUAACUGACGCUGAUGCUCGAAAGUGUGGGUAUCAAACAGGAUUAGAUACCCUGGUAGUCCACACAGUAAACGAUGAAUACUCGCUGUUGGCGAUAUACGGUCAGCGGCCAAGCGAAAGCAUUAAGUAUUCCACCUGGGGAGUACGCCGGCAACGGCGAAACUCAAAGGAAUUGACGGGGGCCCGCACAAGCGGAGGAACAUGUGGUUUAAUUCGAUGAUACGCGAGGAACCUUACCCGGGCUUAAAUUGCAACUGACUGAACCGGAAACGGUUCCUUCUUCGGACAGUUGUGAAGGUGCUGCAUGGUUGUCGUCAGCUCGUGCCGUGAGGUGUCGGCUUAAGUGCCAUAACGAGCGCAACCCUUAUCGAUAGUUACUAGCAGGUCAUGCUGAGGACCCUAUUGAGACUGCCGUCGUAAGAUGUGAGGAAGGUGGGGAUGACGUCAAAUCAGCACGGCCCUUACGUCCGGGGCUACACACGUGUUACAAUGGGGGGUACAGAAGGCAGCUACACGGCGACGUGGUGCUAAUCCCGAAAGCCUCUCUCAGUUCGGAUUGGAGUCUGCAACCCGACUCCAUGAAGCUGGAUUCGCUAGUAAUCGCGCAUCAGCCACGGCGCGGUGAAUACGUUCCCG